rnacentral:rRNA from 1 species
AGCAGUCGCCGCGGUAAUACGAAGGGUGCAAGCGUUAAUCGGAAUUACUGGGCGUAAAGCGUGCGUAGGCGGUGAGUUAAGUCUGCUGUGAAAUCCCCGGGCUCAACCUGGGAAUGGCAGUGGAUACUGGCUCGCUAGAGUGUGUCAGAGGAUGGUGGAAUUCCCGGUGUAGCGGUGAAAUGCGUAGAGAUCGGGAGGAACAUCAGUGGCGAAGGCGGCCAUCUGGGACAACACUGACGCUGAGGCACGAAAGCGUGGGGAGCAAACAGGAUUAGAUACCCCGGUAGUCCCUGUCUCUUAUAC